rnacentral:rRNA from 1 species
CUACGGGAGGCUGCAGUCGAUAAUCUUCCGCAAUGGACGAAAGUCUGACGGAGCGACGCCGCGUGCGGGAUGAAGGCCUUCGGGUUGUAAACCGCUGUCAGUGGGGAGGAAAUGCAUCAGGGUUCUCCCUGGUGUUUGACCGAUCCGCAGAGGAAGCGCAGGCUAAGUUCGUGCCAGCAGCCGCGGUAACACGAACUGCGCGAACGUUAUUCGGAAUCACUGGGCUUAAAGAGUUCGUAGGCGGCCUUUCAAGUCGGGUGUGAAAUCCCUCGGCUCAACCGAGGAAUUGCGCCUGAUACUGUUGGGCUUGAGGGGGAUAGGGGUGAGCGGAACUGAUGGUGGAGCGGUGAAAUGCGUUGAUAUCAUCAGGAACACCGGUGGCGAAGGCGGCUCACUGGAUCUCUUCUGACGCUGAGGAACGAAAGCUAGGGGAGCGAACGGGAUUAGAUACCCUCGUAGUC